rnacentral:scRNA from 1 species
GUGUCCGGUCUGGAAGCCCCUGUCUCCAGUUGUGGCAGUGGACAUGUAGACUAGACACAGAUUAACAGCCAUCCAAUAAAGGGGACAUUUCCCAAAGAGGACUUGAUCCUAAAGGCAGGAUGGGACACU